GUGCACCAGGCGCGAAUCCUUCGCAAUGCGGGAAACCGCGACGAGGGGACUCCCAGUGCCUACGCUCAGCGUAGGCUGUUCCCGAGCCUAGAAAGCUCGGGGAGUAAGGGCUGGGUAAGACGGGUGCCAGCCGCCGCGGUAAUACCCGCAGCCCGAGUGGUGGCCACUAUUAUUGGGCCUAAAGCGUCCGUAGCCGGCCCGGUAAAUGCCUGGGUAAAUCGUGAGGCCUAACCUCACGAAUUCCGGGUAGACUGCCGGGCUAGGGACCGGAGGAGGGAGAGGGUACUCCAGGGGUAGGGGUGAAAUCCUGUAAUCCCCGGAGGACCACCGGUGGCGAAGGCGCUCUCCUAGGACGGGUCCGACGGUGAGGGACGAAAGCCAGGGGAGCGAACCGGAUUAGAUACCCCCGUAGU
rnacentral:rRNA from 1 species